rnacentral:rRNA from 2 species
AGAUGGGAUAAUCCGGGAAACGGGGCUAAUACCGGAUAACUUUUUNCUUCGCAUGAAGGAGAAUUGAAAGGUGGCUCUAGCUACCACUUACAGAUGGACCCGCGGCGCAUUANCUAGUUGGUGAGGUAACGGCUCACCAAGGCGACGAUGCGUAGCCGACUUGAGAGGGUGAUCGGCCACACUGGGACUGAGACACGGCCCAGACUCCUACGGGAGGCAGCAGUAGGGAAUCUUCCGCAAUGGACGAAAGUCUGACGGAGCAACGCCGCGUGAGUGAUGAAGGUUUUCGGAUCGUAAAACUCUGUUGUUAGGGAAGAACAAGUAUCGUUCGAAUAGGGCGGUACCUUGACGGUACCUAACCAGAAAGCCACGGCUAACUACGUGCCAGCAGCCGCGGUAAUACGUAGGUGGCAAGCGUUGUCCGGAAUUAUUGGGCGUAAAGCGCGCGCAGGCGGUUUCUUAAGUCUGAUGUGAAAGCCCACGGCUCAACCGUGGAGGGUCAUUGGAAACUGGGAGACUUGAGUGCAGAAGAGAAGAGCGGAAUUCCACGUGUAGCGGUGAAAUGCGUAGAGAUGUGGAGGAACACCAGUGGCGAAGGCGGCUCUUUGGUCUGUAACUGACGCUGAGGCGCGAAAGCGUGGGGAGCGAACAGGAUUAGAUACCCUGGUAGUCCACGCCGUAAACGAUGAGUGCUAAGUGUUAGAGGGUUUCCGCCCUUUAGUGCUGCAGCUAACGCAUUAAGCACUCCGCCUGGGGAGUACGGCCGCAAGGCUGAAACUCAAAGGAAUUGACGGGGGCCCGCACAAGCGGUGGAGCAUGUGGUUUAAUUCGAAGCAACGCGAAGAACCUUACCAGGUCUUGACAUCCUCUUGACCUCCCUAGAGAUAGGGAUUUCCCUUCGGGGACAAGAGUGACAGGUGGUGCAUGGUUGUCGUCAGCUCGUGUCGUGAGAUGUUGGGUUAAGUCCCGCAACGAGCGCAACCCUUGACCUUAGUUGCCAGCAUUCAGUUGGGCACUCUAAGGUGACUGCCGGUGACAAACCGGAGGAAGGUGGGGAUGACGUCAAAUCAUCAUGCCCCUUAUGACCUGGGCUACACACGUGCUACAAUGGAUGGUACAAAGGGUUGCUAGACCGCGAGGUUACGCCAAUCCCAUAAAACCAUUCUCAGUUCGGAUUGUAGGCUGCAACUCGCNUACAUGAACC